GUAUGCGUUACAGUGCGAUCGGGAGAUGAGCGAGGAGACACGUGUAGGCAGAGGUAGUGGAAGAUAAAACGGUGGAGAGGAGUGAUGAAGCGCGACACUUUUUGCUCAUCGUUGUUAUGUGGCGUCGGACCCCGUCGUUUUAAGGGACACCGAAGGUCAAAGUGUCGCCGGCGAGAGUCAAGGCAACAAUUGUUAAUAACAAAUAAUAAUAACGACAAAGACAACAACAAUAAUAAAUCUGAAAUGUGCAAAUAUGCAAACAAUUUCAUUUAGUAUUGCGCGAAGAAUUGAAAUUGGCAAAGAACUGGGUCGCGCGCAUCAUUUAACAAUUAAUGGUACUUCAUAAAUGUGUGCAUGCGUUUUGUUCUUGCGCCGUUGUUAUUUGUUAUCGGCGCUCAGCUCAGCAAACUGGGACUUUGGCAUUGCGAAGGAAGCACGUGGUACGGUGACGUCGCCUUCAACACUUGCACGUUCGUUCGCUUGCCGGAGGGGUGUUGUUGGUAAUGGGUGGUAAUGAGGGGAACUGUGGUGACCGCAACGCGCGCGUUCCGCGAAGACGUCUGGCGUCGGUGUUGUCGAUGUCGUCGUCGGCGGCGUCGAAGGAUCCCACAAGCGAACGCUGCUGCUUCGGCGCUCGGUUAACUCUCGGACUAAAACUCACUUCAGCCUGCCACUAGACCAGACCACCACACGCGCCAUCCAGUUCUCGAUUGCUGCGGCGGCGGCGGCCUGUGGAUGGCCCAGCCAUGAGUUUUCCUCCUGCUUCCGUCCGUCUCUGCUCCCCCCUGGCCAGGGCACAUCGUGCGCUACGGUUGCGUCACUGCACCGUCGAUCCAGGGGCGUCCCUCCUCGGCCAUCUUCCGCAUCGCUCACACAUCCGGACACACCACGCCAAUCCAUAAAUUCCCUCAACGUAUGCUCAAUUUUCCAUGAUCAUCAAAUACCAUAAGCAGAUUCACUGUACCAGAAAUAACUAUCACCAAUUAACAUCUCUUCUAUUCUAUUAGGAACAUACCAAGAAACAUUUUAGUAGAAGACUACAAGAUCUUCGAACUCCAUGUGAAUUACUUUCAUUAACUCAAUUUCCUCAUUGUAACGAAUUCAUUCAAUUUUAUAUCAUGUACAAUGUUUGCAAUUAAGCGAUUAAUCUCGAUGUAACUAAAUUAUAACUCAUUUUGAUACUUUUAUACAUUCCCAUAAAAAUUAGCAAUUACCAAACUAUAAAAUCAAAUAUGUACAACAGUAAACGCAUCUUUACCAUUGUUAGUAUACUCAUACACAAAUCAUUACUAUCCAUGCAAGAAGCUUUAAUUGCAGACUAAAAACCAUAAUCACUGGGUUGAAUGGAUGAUAUACUUUAUUUAUCCUCAUCUGAUUACAAUUUUAUUUUAUUAUUCCAAUGUAAUCAUUCUAUCAUCCGCAGAGGACAUUCGUAAUGCAUGAGUUAUGUUCCAGAAACAGAGCAGUUGCUCCAAAUCCCAAUCAAUACUCUAGCAUUCGGACGAACCUCCGCGGUCCGACCCUUCUCAAGACAAUUCAACUCUGUAGGGUUUCGUUAUCCUUGCAGUGUAGUAAUAACAAUGUUCAUCUCUUUAAUUAAAAGUAUCAAAGAUUUCGUCUAUAAUUGUGCUAUAUAUAUACGAUUCACAAGAAAAAUAUAUAACUAAUUGGUC